GAUGAACGCUGGCGGCGUGCUUAACACAUGCAAGUCGAACGGUGAACGAGGGAGCUUGCUCCCCCCGGAUCAGUGGCGAACGGGUGAGUAACACGUGAGCAAUCUGCCCUGGACUCUGGGAUAAGCGUUGGAAACGACGUCUAAUACCGGAUACGAGGCGUGGGGGCAUCCCCAACGCGUGGACAGAACUUCGGUCCAGGAUGAGCUCGCGGCCUAUCAGCUAGUUGGUGAGGUAACGGCUCACCAAGGCGACGACGGGUAGCCGGCCUGAGAGGGUGACCGGCCACACUGGGACUGAGACACGGCCCAGACUCCUACGGGAGGCAGCAGUGGGGAAUAUUGCACAAUGGGCGCAAGCCUGAUGCAGCAACGCCGCGUGAGGGACGACGGCCUUCGGGUUGUAAACCUCUUUUAGCAGGGAAGAAGCGAAAGUGACGGUACCUGCAGAAAAAGCACCGGCUAACUACGUGCCAGCCGCCGCAGUAAUAC
rnacentral:rRNA from 1 species